GAUGAACGCUGGCGGCGUGCCUAAUACAUGCAAGUCGAGCGAACAGACGAGGAGCUUGCUCCUCUGACGUUAGCGGCGGACGGGUGAGUAACACGUGGAUAACCUACCUAUAAGACUGGGAUAACUUCGGGAAACCGGAGCUAAUACCGGAUAAUAUAUUGAACCGCAUGGUUCAAUAGUGAAAGACGGUUUUGCUGUCACUUAUAGAUGGAUCCGCGCCGCAUUAGCUAGUUGGUAAGGUAACGGCUUACCAAGGCAACGAUGCGUAGCCGACCUGAGAGGGGGACGGCCCACCUGAGACCGGAGCCCGGGCCCAGCACCCGCGGGGGGGCGCCAGUCGGGAUGCUUCCGAAAGGGGCAAAGGCCGGACGGAGCACCCGCGGGGGAGGAAUGAGGUUUUCGGGAUCUAAACGCUUUUUUAUUAGGAAAAAACAAAUGGGAAAUAAACAAUGCACUUCUUGACGGUCCCUAAUCAAAAGCCCCCGGCUAACUACGUG
rnacentral:rRNA from 1 species